rnacentral:tRNA from 1 species
GCCAGGGUAGCUCAGUGGUAGAGCAACUCCAUGGUAAGGAGUAGGUCGUGGGUUCAACUCCCAUCCCUGGCU